GCCCAAGACAUAUCCGCCUGCCUC
rnacentral:siRNA from 1 species